rnacentral:rRNA from 1 species
GACGAACGCUGGCGGCGCGCCUAACACAUGCAAGUCGAACGAGCGAGAGAGAGCUUGCUUUCUUGAGCGAGUGGCGAACGGGUGAGUAACGCGUGAGGAACCUGCCUCAAAGAGGGGGACAACAGUUGGAAACGACUGCUAAUACCGCAUAAGCCCACGGUGCCGCAUGGCACAGAGGGAAAAGGAGCAAUCCGCUUUGAGAUGGCCUCGCGUCCGAUUAGCUAGUUGGUGAGGUAACGGCCCACCAAGGCGACGAUCGGUAGCCGGACUGAGAGGUUGAACGGACACAUUGGGACUGAGACACGGCCCAGACUCCUACGGGAGGCAGCAGUGGGGAAUAUUGCACAAUGGGGGAAACCCUGAUGCAGCGACGCCGCGUGGAGGAAGAAGGUCUUCGGAUUGUAAACUCCUGUUGUUGGGGAAGAUAAUGACGGUACCCAACAAGGAAGUGACGGCUAACUACGUG